UUCCGGUUGAUCCCGCCGGAGGCUACCGCUAUUGGAGUUCGAUUAAGCCAUGCGAGUCCAGAGCUUUCGGAGCUCGGCGUACCGCUCAGUAACACGUGGGUAACCUAACCUAUGCAGGGGAAUAACCUCGGGAAACUGAGAAUAAUGCCCCAUAGUCCACUACGCCUGGAACGGUGAGUGGAUGAAAGCUCAGGCGGCAUAGGAUGGGCCUGCGGCGUAUCAGGUUGUAGGGGGUGUAAAGUACCCUCUAGCCCUCUACGCGUACGGGUGUUGGGAGACAUAGCCCGGAGAUGGAUUCUGAGACACGAAUCCAGACCCUACGGGGUGCAGCAGGCGCGAAAACUUGGCAAUGCGAGCAAUCGUGACCAGGGAACUCCAAGUGGCUGGGGUAAGACCCAGUCUUUUCAGAACUCUUCAAAGGUUUUAGAAUAAGGGGUGGGUAAGGACGGUGCCAGCCGCCGCGGUAAUACCGGCGCCUCAAGUGGUAGUCGCUUUUAUUGGGCCUAAAACGUCCGUAGCCGGUUUGGUACAUUCGUGGGUAAAUCAACUCGCUCAACGAGUUGAAUUCUGCGAGGACGGCCAGACUUGGGACCGGGAGAGGUGUGGGGUACUCUCAGGGUAGGGGUAAAAUCCUGUCAUCCUGAGAGGACCACCUGUUGCGAAGGCGCCACACUAGAACGGAUCCGACGGUCAGGGACGAAGCCUAGGGGCACGAACCGGAUUAGAUACCCGGGUAGUCCUAGGUGUAAACGCUGUGGACUUGAUGUUGGAGGAGCUCCGAGCUCUUUCAGUGUCGAAGCGAAGGUGAUAAGUCCACUGCCUGGGAAGUACGGUCGCAAGGCUGAAACUUAAAGGAAUUGGCGGGGGAGCACCGCAACCUGAGGAUUGUGCGGUUUAAUUGGAGUCAACGCCGG
rnacentral:rRNA from 1 species